rnacentral:rRNA from 1 species
UACAGAGGUCUCAAGUGUUGUUCGGAUUCAUUGGGCGUAAAGGGUGCGUAGGCGGCGCGGUAAGUCGGGUGUGAAAUUUCGAGGCUUAACUUCGAAACUGCAUUCGAUACUGCCGUGCUUGAGGACUGGAGAGGAGACUGGAAUUUACGGUGUAGCGGUGAAAUGCGUAGAUAUCGUAAGGAAGACCAGUGGCGAAGGCGGGUCUCUGGACAGUUCCUGACGCUGAGGCACGAAGGCCAGGGGAGCAAACAGG